rnacentral:rRNA from 1 species
AGUGAACGCUGGCGGUAGGCCUAACACAUGCAAGUCGAACGGCAGCACAGUAAGAGCUUGCUCUUACGGGUGGCGAGUGGCGGACGGGUGAGGAAUACAUCGGAAUCUACUUUUUCGUGGGGGAUAACGUAGGGAAACUUACGCUAAUACCGCAUACGACCUACGGGUGAAGGCAGGGGAUCUUCGGACCUUGCGCGAUUGAAUGAGCCGAUGUCGGAUUAGCUAGUUGGCGGGGUAAAGGCCCACCAAGGCGACGAUCCGUAGCUGGUCUGAGAGGAUGAUCAGCCACACUGGAAAUGAGACACGGUCCAGACUCCUACGGGAGGCAGCAGUGGGGAAUAUUGGACAAUGGGCGCAAGCCUGAUCCAGCCAUACCGCGUGGGUGAAGAAGGCCUUCGGGUUGUAAAGCCCUUUUGUUGGGAAAGAAAAGCAGCAGGUUAAUACCCCGCUGUUCUGACGGUACCCAAAGAAUAAGCACCGGCUAACUUCGUG